AUUUUGUUUUUAUUCCUACUGUAACAGUAUAUAUAGUAUACACAUCCUAUAGGUUUCUCUAUACUCUUCAGAUAGUACCUAAUGUCUAUUGUUUGAUUCUCAAGCUGUGUGACACUUGCUUCAGGUCUGUUUGCUCUUUUUUACUUCAUGUCCCCAUCAUGUAGGGACUUAAUGUGCCCUAUAUGUGAAUAGCCUGAAUAAAUAUACAGUGUAAAUAGCCUGAAUGAUUGGGAUUGACACAUGGGGAUUGUUAUAAUAUUUACAUGCAAUUUAAACCAUCAGUGUGUAUGAUGUUAUAAUUAACCCAGCCCCUCUGGCUGCACUUGCGUCUGGUUGCAGAGUUUACAACACUGAAAAUAUCCCAACUUGCAGACAUGGUAAGUUUACUUUCCAAUGUUAUCGUGACCGCUUUUGGUGGUGCGGGUUCUUCAUUUAAUUGACAGUUAUGUCACUGUCAUGAACCAGCCCGUCUACUGUUUCUAAACAGGUUGUUGAGGUUUGUAGAUUGUCCUUUAAUUAAUUGUGUGCAAAGUAUGUAAGACAGACCAAUAAAAUGCUUUGUUUUGUUUGGUCCAGUGGUGUAGUCAGGGCUGUACGUAUGUAUAUGCUGUAUUCUUGCGUUGUCCCCCCGGGCUGUGUGUGUAUAACGACUUCUAAGGAUCGAUAUUAGCGUAUACUUACUUGUUUUACUGUUUCAUAAGUCCUUAAUCUACUCUUAUGUUAGCUUUUUUGCGGGUUUUUUUUUUGGUAAAACUCACGAUUCUUUGCUGUAAUUGGUACCUGACGACCGCUGUCAACCCUCCGUCAUCGACGACAUUGUCUUGCUGAAGCAGUCAGGUAAAAUGAACAAAAGUGCAUCAAGUGGGCUUGAAAGUGUAUUCAGUUCUCACCGGGACUGAUUCUACUCUCUUUGAUUGACACUGAACUCAUGUAUUCACUUUUUCUCUUGAGCUGCUUUACACAAUCAUAAUUUACAGCUGCUUUACACUUAUCACAAUCAAUUGAUCAUAUUGCUGUGCAUUGCAAUAUAUUUCUCUAUCUAUCUAUCUAUCUAUCUAUCUAUCUAUCUAUCUAUCUAUCUAUCGCAAUUUUUAGUACUGGCUUUACAAAAAUCAGACGAUGAAAUGUAACAAUUCCAAAAAUACACUUCCUUUAUCUAGUCCUCCAUAAUUCAAACGGGCACUUUUAUUACAUUUAAACAGUAAAACGAUUUCAGAAUUGCUAUUGGGCAGCAACAAUCUUGAUGUAAUAUAUGAAAAGGACAUGAUGCUUUGUUCUAUAUUGUGAUGAAUCGUAACAGGACCUGUAUAUGAGCUAGUCAACAAUACCCAGCCCUAAUAUACAGGAUAGAUACGUUGCCAACAUGCAAAGGGGAGUACCGGCACCUAUUUUAGCCAGGGGAGACACUUUCAGACACCCUUGAGGCAAAAGAUUGUGGCGUACUCAAAGAUGGACUUGAAAUCUAACCCUAAAAUCAACGCUGAGGAAUUUUUGAAAAAACCUAAUUUCUCAAAAAUCUGAGCAUUCUGGACACAAGCAGCUGGCCAUCUUUAUGGAGCCUGGUAUUCUUUAUGCUGAAGCAGAGGUUCUUCAUUUGUGCCCCGACCAGGCCAAUAGGGGAAUGAGAGACAUAAUCGAAUCUCCCAGAACUAAAUGUCAAAAUUUGAAACCCUUUAAGAACUGAACGCAGAACUUUUCUAUCAGCACAGCGGACUGCGUAACGGGUUUCAGUAUUAUAAAUGGCAUUAUGACUAACAAGUGGUCUGCACUUCCUGUUUCAAACAUUUCAGGUUGGAUGAUGAUGAUGAUGAUGAUGAUGAUGAUGAUGAUGAAUCUCAAUGGUUCAACACAGAGAAAUAUGGAAAGUCCAUCCUCGCACUGCAAAUCACCCAGAUGUAAAUCUGUAAAUCUGACCAUGGUUCGAAAAUUCGUUUAGAGCAUACUGUAACUGAAUAAACAAUGCACAAGUGAACAUUUUAAUAUGUAUUAAAUGUAACAAUUUACUACACGACUGGUUUGAUCUUCUCCACCCUUCUCACCCUUCUCUUCAAAGGAGCAUGAAGAGCAGAUUUAUGCUGGGUCGGUUUUAUUAAGGGUAGAUUUAUGUAAAACGUUUACUAAGAUCUAGAUAGUUGUGUCAAAGUAAAUAAUAUGUGUAAAUGAUUGACAUAAGGUGAAGAUCUGAUCAAGAUUUAGAAAGAUUUUUCUACAAUUAAUUUUUUUCUUUGAUUUUUUUUUUUCUUUUCUUUUCUUUUAAAAAGGCUGUGCUGAAGAAGACAGUAGUGGUGGGUUUUGUCCUCUUUGGUCUUAUUCCCCUGAUUCAUGCCUGCUCGUUGAAGAAAGCCGGUGGCAAAGCUGAUAAGUGUCAGGAUUACUUGGAUAAUUCGUGGCACCCACAAGGAUCCACCUGGACAAACCGCUACUGUAUUAAAUGCACUUGCAGCUCUGGAUACAUGAUCUGCUGUUCCGAAUUUCCAAAAUCUGUGACUCCUGGCUGCACCCUGCAAAAAGAUUACAAAACAUGCAAAUACAACGUGAUUAACUACAACCCAGCAGUUGAAUGUAAAGUCACGAAGAGUUAAUGUUGACGUGACCGAAGUUUCACAAUCAAUGCAUACAGAAUGUCAUAUAAGGGCAUGAAUAAUAGUGCAAUAAUAAUAAUAAUAAUAAUAAUAAUUCGGAGGUAGACUGUGAGUCUUUCGAUGUGUAGUUUUAGA